rnacentral:lncRNA from 1 species
GGGUUGGAAGAUGGGUUAUAAGAUGAUGAAGGAAACUUCACUGUUCCCAAUAAAAUUGCUGCUGGAAAAGAGCUUUCUCUCUUGUAAUAGUAUGGUUCUUGUAGGAUUGUUUCCUGUUUCCAGGGCCCAGAAGAAGAUGGCUUUAUGUGUUUGAUUGCUUUCUGUGGGUCUCUUGGAUGCUAGGCCUCUGGCCAGCUAGCCAGGGAGAUAGAUAGAUUACUUCACCAUUUUGGAGUAUGGGGUAGUUAUACUGUCCAAGCCUGGGCACUUUUGAGGAUGCAAUUGAGCUAACAAAACAGAGACUGUCUAUAUAGGUAGAGAUGAAUGCUGGGCACAAGACUCAUGCCCUGUCUUGUAACCUCACUAUUUAAAAGAGUGGAACAGUGGGUCUUUCCACUGGGCAGCUGAAUCAUCUCAGGAUAUGAGAAAUAAAUUAGCUACUAUUUGUUGAGGGCUUAUUUGGUUUCCAGACUCUGAUUUUAGGAUGUUUCUUGCCUCCCACCCUCAAUUCUGGUCUGACUCUGAUUUUAGGAUGUCUCCCACCCCCAUUCUGUCCAAAAAAAUUAAACUUGAAAAUAUGGACUUUUGGAGAAGGGUUGUAAAUCAACAAGCUCAAACAAUGAAAACCAGUCUUUCUAAACUGCCCCUUCUUAGGGUGGGGCUUCUUGCCUGAAUGCCCCAGGGAUCAAGACUUUGAGGAUAGUUUCUCUCCUCUCCUCUCCUCUCCUCUCCUCUCCUCUCCUCUCCUUUCCUC